rnacentral:lncRNA from 1 species
UUGGAGGCUUAGAAGUCCAGAGAUGGAGGAAAUGGGAAGGAAAAGAAGGCUGAUCAAAGAAUUCACAGUGCUACAAAAGGAAUUUACAUGUCUCUCUUCCUUUUCUUCUCUCUGUCUAAACAGAUGCAGUAUGAGCAGCCACCUAUAACCUCUGAAGCUAUGCUUUCUCUGCUACAGUGGACUGGAGCUUUUCAAACCACAAUUCAAGGCAAUCCCUUCCAUCCUGAGUUGUUUCUUGCCAGCUACUUUGAUGGCGGAAAUGAGAAAAUUCGGUGAUCCAAAUGGGCACAGAACUUCUCUCCAGGAUGAAGAGGUCUCCAGACGGACAGUAAUGACAACUACAUACCAGUGUGUGUAUACUUACUGCCAAGAAACAGUACCCCAAAAGGUGUUUAAGGAAUCAGUUCUGUUAUGCAUAUUUUAUCACAAUUUAAAAAGUUUCCUUCUUACCAAAAGCAAUCAGACAGCUAAAGGAUCUGUAUCUUGAACAAUUCAGGUUGGAAGAUGGCAGCUACCUAUUUCAAACUCUCCUAGGCAUCUCUGUGGAGAUGCCCUUCCAGCAAGAUUCCAGAGUUCAGACAAUGUCAGUGAGCAACCGAGGACUUAUGACAAUCACCUUGAAUGCCUUCUGGAUGCAGAUUCUCCAAGCCCAUCGAUACUGAAUUGGCAUAGCCUGUCAGCAUGUUUACUGCAGCUUCAGGAGAAACCCAGGGCCUCCUGGGUAAGGCAGUACUCCUGGACUUCUGACCAUCAGAAACCAUGAGGCAAUGCCUUUAAAACCGCAAAGUCAUAUGUUGUAAUAGAUGUGAAUAUAAGUACAAAUGACUUCACAAAUUCACACUAAUGGUAAAUAACAAAACCACAACAAUACAGAAGGACUAUAGUUGUCAAGAAUAAACUUCUUCCUGUACAACCAUUAGGGAAGUAUUAGCUGAUGGGGUAAAGAAAAAUGUCUGCGUUCUCAUCCUGUGUGUAUUCCUCUUUUGCAUGUUUAGCUCUUGUAACAUAUGGCUACCCUCUCUCAGCUUUCAUGUGGCUUCCUUUCCUACAUUGCUUUGUGUGGGGAUGGUUAUCUUUAUAGAAUGGCAGAAUGUUUGUUGUUCUCUCUGUUGUGGUGAUUCAAAUGCAUAGGGGUCCAUGCUUCAACCUUAUACAGGGAUUUCCAAGUCUUGUGGCCAAACAGAAACUAGGAAGUUCACAAAACAACAUCUGCUACCUAUCUCUUCUCUCUUCCUGAGCUUCCUAUCUACCUUUAUCACCGUGAUGGUGAGAUCCUUGCAUGCUUCUGAGGAGCUUACAACAGGAGUGAUCACAACCAGAAAACCAUAUCGGCACUCACCAAUGUCUGAUACAGUCUGUGUCAGAACCUGCCUAUAAAUAGCAUGUGGCAGGUAAGGGCUGGAGAUCUGGUCAACCCAGAAAUAGUAUUACCUGUCUGAGGAAUCAUUUAGCUGUGGUGGAAUAUCUCAAGCAACUGGUAAAACAUUGUACUACAUCAUGUCUUGAGAGAGAUGUGAGACGGGAGACAGAAAACUUUAGAACACCUGUGCAAUAAAAUGUCUAAAAUGAAGUAAGACAUGCAUGUUGUGCUCUGGAAAGACACAUCAGUUAGUGACUAGUAAACACUGAAUAUGGCUACUCCUGUGGUUUAGUUGGGGUCACAUCCUUUAUGUUUGUUUGGGUUUUUGUUUUGUUUUGUCUUUCUAGAUAGUGUUUCUCUGUAUAGCUCUGGCUGUCCUGGAACUCACUCUGUAGACCAGGCUGGUCUUGAACUUAAAGAUUCACGUGCCUCUGCCUCCUGAGUGCUGGGAUUAAAGGCAUGCACCACCACUGCCCAGCUGGGAUCAGAUUUUUAAGGUAAGACAUCAGAAGGGCUUGGUAUGUGGCAGGAUUUCCUAUGUUUGUGACUAUGCACUUCAUCAAUUGUAUCUUGGAAAUGUGUCGUACACAUAAGAAACUCAUUCUAUGCUGGCACCUCACCUUGUUAUGGAUUUUCAAUGCUGUAUAAAGGAAGAGCUUAUAGAUCAAGGU